UGGGGAAUUUUGGACAAUGGGCGCAAGCCUGAUCCAGCCAUGCCGCGUGAGUGAAGAAGGCCUUCGGGUUGUAAAGCUCUUUCGGCGGGGAAGAAAUCGCACUGGUUAAUACCUGGUGUGGAUGACGGUACCCGAAUAAGAAGCACCGGCUAACUACGUGCCAGCAGCCGCGGUAAUACGUAGGGUGCGAGCGUUAAUCGGAAUUACUGGGCGUAAAGCGUGCGCAGGCGGUUGUGUAAGUCAGAUGUGAAAUCCCCGGGCUCAACCUGGGAACUGCAUUUGAGACUGCACGGCUAGAGUUUGGCAGAGGGGGGUGGAAUUCCACGUGUAGCAGUGAAAUGCGUAGAGAUGUGGAGGAACACCGAUGGCGAAGGCAGCCCCCUGGGCCAAUACUGACGCUCAUGCACGAAAGCGUGGGGAGCAAACA
rnacentral:rRNA from 1 species